rnacentral:rRNA from 1 species
UACAGAGGGGGCAAGCGUUAUUCCGAAUUAUUGGGCGUAAAGGGCGCGUAGGCGGCUUGGCAAGUGGGAGGUGAAAUCCCUCGGCUUAACCGAGGAACUGCCCUCCAAACUGCUUUGCUUGAGGCCGGGAGAGGCGAGUGGAAUUCCCAGUGUAGCGGUGAAAUGCGUAGAUAUUGGGAGGAACACCAGUGGCGAAGGCAGCUCGCUGGACCGGUUCUGACGCUGAGGCGCGAAAGCGUGGGGAGCAAACGGG